rnacentral:tRNA from 1 species
ACCCGGAUGGUGGAAUUGGUAGACACGUACGCUUGAGGGGCGUAUGCCGUAAGGUGUGCAGGUUCAAAUCCUGUUUCGGGUA